ACGCCGCGUGAGGGAUGACGGCCUUCGGGUUGUAAACCUCUUUCAGCAGGGAAGAAGCGAAAGUGACGGUACCUGCAGAAAAAGCGCCGGCUAACUACGUGCCAGCAGCCGCGGUAAUACGUAGGGCGCAAGCGUUAUCCGGAAUUAUUGGGCGUAAAGAGCUCGUAGGCGGUUUGUCGCGUCUGCUGUGAAAUCCCGAGGCUCAACCUCGGGUCUGCAGUGGGUACGGGCAGACUAGAGUGCGGUAGGGGAGAUUGGAAUUCCUGGUGUAGCGGUGGAAUGCGCAGAUAUCAGGAGGAACACCGAUGGCGAAGGCAGAUCUCUGGGCCGUAACUGACGCUGAGGAGCGAAAGGGUGGGGAGCAAACAGGCUUAGAUACCCUGGUAGUCCACCCCGUAAACGUUGGGAACUAGUUGUGGGGACCAUUCCACGGUUUCCGUGACGCAGCUAACGCAUUAAGUUCCCCGCCUGGGGAGUACGGCCGCAAGGCUAAAACUCAAAGGAAUUGACGGGGACCCGCACAAGCGGCGGAGCAUGCGGAUUAAUUCGAUGCAACGCGAAGAACCUUACCAAGGCUUGACAUAUACGAGAACGCUGCAGAAAUGUAGAACUCUUUGGACACUCGUAAACAGGUGGUGCAUGGUUGUCGUCAGCUCGUGUCGUGAGAUGUUGGGUUAAGUCCCGCAACGAGCGCAACCC
rnacentral:rRNA from 1 species